rnacentral:rRNA from 1 species
GACGUAGGGGGCGAGCGUUGUCCGGAUUCAUUGGGCGUAAAGCGCGCGUAGGCGGCCCGGUAAGUCGGAUGUGAAAUCUCACGGCUCAACCGUGGAACUGCAUUCGAUACUGUCGGGCUAGAGGCAGGUAGGGGAGAUCGGAAUUCCCGGUGUAGCGGUGAAAUGCGCAGAUAUCGGGAGGAACACCGGUGGCGAAGGCGGAUCUCUGGGCCUGUCCUGACGCUCAGGCGCGAAAGCUAGGGGAGCAAACAGG